UGGAAAUAAAAAAGAUUUACUUCUGAUACUUCUAGUGAUAGUCUAUUACUGAACUUCUUUUAAAAGCCCAUUUUUCUUCAAGUCAGCUGUGAAUAGUUGCAGCAGUUGAUGAUUUAAUGAUGUAGGCCUACAGCUGAGCAACCCUUCCAGCUGAUUGGGCUAGCAGUUGUACUUUGGUGUGGUGAAAAUGUCUUCUGACGCUGGCAAUGCAUAUUUUAAGACCAACAAAGAGGAUUCCUCAGAGACAGAGAGACAAUCUGACUGGACUGAAAAUGUGCCCCAGACGUCAGAGCAGGAGGUGCCUAGCAAGAGUCCAACAGCCCAAGUUACCAACAAUCUUCAGCUUAUCGAUUCCAUACUUACGGACCUGCAAGCUCUGCAUGAUCGUUUAAAGGAGAGAGACUUGAUGGAUGCACCUCUUCUUCAAAAAUAAAAUUUCACCUACCCUUACUCAACAUAAUUCUUAAUAAAGCUAGAUUUUAAUGUUUACAUGUUGCAGUGUAAACACAAACAAAGAGGCUGUGAGAUUUAAUU